GACGAACGCUGGCGGCGUGCCUAAUACAUGCAAGUCGAACGCACUCUCGUUUAGAUUGAAGGAGCUUGCUCCUGAUUGAUAAACAUUUGAGUGAGUGGCGGACGGGUGAGUAACACGUGGGUAACCUGCCCUAAAGUGGGGGAUAACAUUUGGAAACAGAUGCUAAUACCGCAUAAAACCUAACACCGCAUGGUGUAGGGUUGAAAGAUGGUUUCGGCUAUCACUUUAGGAUGGACCCGCGGUGCAUUAGUUAGUUGGUGAGGUAAAGGCUCACCAAGACCGUGAUGCAUAGCCGACCUGAGAGGGUAAUCGGCCACACUGGGACUGAGACACGGCCCAGACUCCUACGGGAGGCAGCAGUAGGGAAUCUUCCACAAUGGACGAAAGUCUGAUGGAGCAACGCCGCGUGAGUGAAGAAGGUUUUCGGAUCGUAAAACUCUAGUUGUUGGAGAAGAAUGUAUCUGAUAGUAACUGAUCAGGUAGUGACGGUAUCCAACC
rnacentral:rRNA from 1 species